rnacentral:rRNA from 1 species
AAUAGCCUAUGGGGGGCAGCAGUGGGGGAUAUUGGACAAUGGGGGAAACCCUGAUCCAGCGACGCCGCGUGAGUGAAGAAGUAUUUCGGUAUGUAAAGCUCUGUCAGCAGGGAAGAAAGAAAUGACGGUACCUGACCAAGAAGCCCCGGCUAACUACGUGCCAGCAGCCGCGGUAAUACGUAGGGGGCAAGCGUUAUCUGGAAUUACUGGGUGUAAAGGGAGCGUAGACGGUGAUGCAAGUCUGGAGUGAAAGGCGGGGGCCCAACCCCCGGACUGCUCUGGAAACUGUAUGACUUGAGUGCAGG